CCCCUAGAUGUUCUGGGCCGCACGCGCGCUACACUGAACAGUUCAACAAGUCUUAACCUUGGCCGGUAGGUCUGGGUAAUCUUUGAACGCUGUUCGUGAUUGGGAUAGACCUUUGCAAUUAUGGGUCUUCAACGAGGAAUUCCUAGUAAACGCAAGUCAUCAGCUUGCAUUGAUUACGUCCCUGCCCUUUGUACACACCGCCCGUCGCACCUACCGAUUGAAUGGUCCGGUGAAAUCUCGGGACGGCGGCUUGGUCGCUUGCGUCCGACUGCUGAAACUUGAUUAAACCAUAUCAUUUAGAGGAAGGUGAAGUCGUAACA
rnacentral:rRNA from 1 species